rnacentral:rRNA from 1 species
CCUACGGGGUGCUGCAGUGAGGAAUAUUGGUCAAUGGGAGAGAUCCUGAACCAGCCAAGCCGCGUGAGGGAAGACGGCCCUAUGGGUUGUAAACCUCUUUUGUCGGAGAACAAAACCCGGGACGUGUCCCGGACUGCGUGUAUCCGAAGAAAAAGCAUCGGCUAACUCCGUGCCAGCAGCCGCGGUAAUACGGAGGAUGCGAGCGUUAUCCGGAUUUAUUGGGUUUAAAGGGUGCGUAGGCGGUCCGUUAAGUCAGCGGUAAAAUUGCGGGGCUCAACCCUGUCGAGCCGUUGAAACUGGCAGACUUGAGUUGGCGAGAAGUACGCGGAAUGUGUAGUGUAGCGGUGAAAUGCAUAGAUAUUACACAGAACACCGAUUGCGAAGGCAGCUUGCUAGGCCGGAUCUGACACUGAUGCACGAAAGCGUGGGGAUCGAACAGGAUUAGAUACCCGGGUAGUC